GGGCUGCCAACAUCUGCAGAGGUUUACUGAUAUCAGAGCGCUGAGUUUCUAGACAAUAUUGAGAAAGAAUAAGCUGGAAUAUCAUUGUCGGCAUAUACAGAACUUGCUCAUAUAGCGGUUGUUUUGCCUGGUAAUGUUCUGGUCGGCAUUGGACUUAAGGCUUCCUUGUUUCGUUGGCAACGCACUCCCGGUAGACUUGGCACUCCAAACAUAUGCGCAUAUCUUGAGGGACAAACAUCCAGUGAUGUUGAGAGUGAUCCCUCUUCCUGUGUAACCUCAGCGCCUUUGUGUGGUCACCCCACGUCCAGGAAAUUCGUCACGCUAACUUACUGAUUGGUUUAUCUGUGUGUGCUAUGCUGAGGUCCUCAUCCAUGAAGCCCUCAAAAAUAUGUGGCCUCAUGCUGGUCACCAUCUUCUCUUUUGAUAUCACCGAGUGAUUUCACAUCCACUGAGGAUCUUUGCAGGCUGCUAAGUGGUGGUGGUGGUUGCUGGUGUCCAGGUGGUAACACGGAGAGCAAGUGGAAGAAACCUUGGGAGACUUCCAUGACUCAGGAACAAGCACACCUCACUGGGAGCCUUGUGACUGACAGGUGGUUCAGACCGACUGGGAGACAUGACGUCUGUGCCACCACGCAGGGAGUAAAACCAAGAGGAGGAAGAGGAGCAUUCAAGAGACAUCAGCUGGCCAGCAGUCCAUUCAGUUUCACAACAGGAAGUGAAGGAUGAAGCAUGAAGGUUUUAGGCCAAAAUGAACUGACAGCAAUCAGGAAUGACACGUCCAGCAAAACCAGCAACACAGCAGAGUGCAACCUCUACAAGUGGUGGAGGGCAUGGACACUUGGAUAUGGAUGACACUGGUUUGGGUGCCAAAUAUUAAUAGUGCACCUACACAAUUACCACACUCGCUCCUCUCACCAGGCUUAACUAUAAAUAAUUAAAGGAAUGAGUGAGGAGGCACAUCUGUCUGUGAUUAGGGAAUGCAAAUGACGAUGUUCCAAGGACAUCACCCUGUCCUGGGCCAUGACAUGAGAGAGAAGAGGAAAAAAGGACUCUCUCUCUCUCUCUCUCUCUCUCUCUCUCUCUCUCUCUCUCUCUCUCUCUCUCUCUCUCUCUCUCUCUCUCUCUCUCUCUCUCUCUCUCUCUCUCUCUCUCUCUCAGAGUUUCCAUAACACCAAACUACUCUGGUGUUAAUUUCAUGAGUUGCUGAAUAAUAGAAAUGGGAAUGUUAGUUCAAUGCAUUUAGCUCUGAGUAUGAAAGAAUGACAAGAAAGAAUGCAGAGGACACUAGAACACAUGCACAGAAAACUGAAAGAUUUUUAAACUUUUGAAUAGGUGUAGGAAAAAAAAAAAAAAAAAAAACUGCAAAAUCAGUGUCUCCUUAAAACAACACAUGACAGCAAUGAUAACUCAUACAACAAUAAUGCUUGAUGAAGACUAUAUUUCCAACACAGAUUUAUGACAACAUUUGGCAAAGCUGUGCACUGUUUACUUGUGUUAAAACUAUGCUAUGAUUUGAGAGGAAAGUUGGUUAGUCAUUAUAGGGUUAAGAUGAUAUAAGGGUGUUUAUUUUAGCUAAUUUCCAAUGACUCCUAAUAUAAGAUUAAAACUUUAAUGAUUAAGUAACUAUUUCAUUGUUUACAUUAAUUUACACCAAAAUUUCGCAACUACAACCUCAGGGAUGUUUAGUUAAUCCAAUUUUGUUCACAACUACUACAUUUUUUCCAAUGGUUUACCCAUAGUACAACACAAACAACUACAAUAUCAUUCAUGCUAUUUCAUUCCAAAAAAAAAUUCACAACUAUGUACAUGAUCUAGUUUACAAUAAAAGGAUUUUGAACAAUA